GAUCCCUGAGAAGUUUGCCACUCAGUUAUUAAUUUUCUCAAACUAUUUCACCAAAGACAGUUUUCGAAACUUUGGACAAUUUAAAGCAGGAUUUGCUAAGCUGCUGUUGCUGAAAACAGGGACUGUUG